GCAAGUCGAACGCUGAAGCCUAGCUUUUGUUGGGUGGAUGAGUGGCGAACGGGUGAGUAACACGUGAGUAACCUGCCCCCUUCUUUGGGAUAACGCCCGGAAACGGGUGCUAAUACUGGAUAUUCACUGAUCUUCGCAUGGGGGUUGGUGGAAAGGUUUUUUCUGGUGGGGGAUGGGCUCGCGGCCUAUCAGCUUGUUGGUGGGGUGAUGGCCUACCAAGGCUUUGACGGGUAGCCGGCCUGAGAGGGUGACCGGUCACAUUGGGACUGAGAUACGGCCCAGACUCCUACGGGAGGCAGCAGUGGGGAAUAUUGCACAAUGGGCGAAAGCCUGAUGCGGCGACGCCGCGUGAGGGAUGGAGGCCUUCGGGUUGUAAACCUCUUUCGCUCAUGGUCAAGCCGCAACAUUGGUUGUGGUGAGGGUAGUGGGUAAAGAAGCGCCGGCUAACUACGUGCCAGCAGCCGCGGUAAUACGUAGGGCGCGAGCGUUGUCCGGAAUUAUUGGGCGUAAAGGGCUUGUAGGCGGUUGGUCGCGUCUGCCGUGAAUCCUCUGGCUUAACUGGGGGCGUGCGGUGGGUACGGGCUGACUUGAGUGCAGAAGAGGACAGUGGAACUCCAUGUGUAGCGGUGAAUGCGUAGAUAUAUGGAAGAACACCAGUGGCGAAGGCGG
rnacentral:rRNA from 1 species